CCUGGCGGCCGUAGCGCGGUGGUCCCACCUGACCCCAUGCCGAACUCAGAAGUGAAACGCCGUAGCGCCGAUGGUGGUGUGGGGUCUCCCCAUGCGAGAGUAGGGAACUGCCAGGC
rnacentral:rRNA from 1 species